CCUGGCUCAGAACGAACGCUGGCGGCGUGCUUAAUACAUGCAAGUUGUGCGAGAAAGUUUCCUUCGGGGAGCGAGUAAAGCGGCGAACGGGUGAGUAACACGUAAGUAACCUGCCUCUGAAUUUGGGAUAACCCCGAGAAAUCGGGGCUAAUACCGGAUGUGGUCUUCGAGUCGCAUGACUUGAAGAUUAAAGGUGACCUCUUCUUGAAAGUUACUGUUCAGAGAUGGGCUUGCGCACCAUUAGCUUGUUGGUGGGGUAAUGGCCUACCAAGGCUGUGAUGGUUAGCCGACCUGAGAGGGUGAUCGGCCACAUUGGGACUGAGAUACGGCCCAGACUCCUACGGGAGGCAGCAGUAGGGAAUUUUGCGCAAUGGACGAAAGUCUGACGCAGCAACGCCGCGUGAGCGAUGAAGGCCUUCGGGUUGUAAAGCUCUGUUGAGUGGGAAGAAAAUCUCCAGGGCUAAUAUCUCUGGAGACUGACGGUACCAUUCGAGGAAGCCCCGGCUAACUACGUGCCAGCAGCCGCGGUAAUACGUAGGGGGCAAGCGUUGUUCGGAAUCACUGGGCGUAAAGGGAGUGUAGGCGGAAGAGUAAGUUAGAAGUUUAACCUGCAGGCUUAACCUGCAGCCUGCUUUUAAUACUGCUUUUCUUGAGUAUGGGAGAGGGCGAUGGAAUUCCAGGUGUAGCGGUGGAAUGCGUAGAUAUCUGGAAGAACACCAGUUGCGAAGGCGGUCGCCUGGCCCAAUACUGACACUGAGGCUCGAAAGCUAGGGGAGCAAACAGGAUUAGAUACCCUGGUAGUCCUAGCCGUAAACGAUGGACACUAGAUGCUGGAGAGGUUUUUCUUCUCAGUGUCGUAGCUAACGUAUUAAGUGUCCCGCCUGGGGAGUACGCUCGCAAGGGUGAAACUCAAAGGAAUUGACGGGGGCCCGCACAAGCGGUGGAGCAUGUGGUUUAAUUCGAUGCAACGCGAAGAACCUUACCUAGACUUGACAUGGGGGUGAAAGCUUUCAGAAAUGAGAGUCCUUCCUUCGGGAACACCCUGCACAGGUGCUGCAUGGUUGUCGUCAGCUCGUGUCGUGAGAUGUUGGGUUAAGUCCCGCAACGAGCGCAACCCUUGUCCUUAGUUGCUAACGGGUAAUGCCGAGAACUCUAAGGAGACUGCCCGGUUUAACCGGGAGGAAGGUGGGGAUGACGUCAAAUCCUCAUGGCCCUUACGUCUAGGGCUACACACGUGCUACAAUGGUCGGUACAAAGGGCUGCGAGAUCGCGAGAUUAAGCUAAUCCCACAAAACCGUCCUCAGUUCGGAUUAGAGUCUGCAAUUCGACUCUAUGAAGCUGGAAUCGCUAGUAAUCGCGGAUCAGCAUGCCGCGGUGAAUACGUCC
rnacentral:rRNA from 1 species